CUUGCGCUCUUUGGUAUUCCGAAGAGCAUGCCUGUUUGAGUGUCAUGAAAAUAUCAACCUUGACUUGGGUUUUGUGCUCUAGUCUCGGCUUGGAAUUGGGUGCUUGCCGCUUUUACGAGCGGCUCACCUUAAAUGUAUUAGCUGGAUCUGUCUUUGAGACUUGGUUUGACUUGGCGUAAUAAGUAUUUCGCUAAGGACAUUCUUCGGAGUGGCCUCGUUUCUAGGACGCUUGUCCGCUUUCCAAUACAAGUUCCACCUCGUGGACAUGACUUUUUAUUAUCUGGCCUCAAAUCAGGUAGGACUACCCGCUGAACUUAAGCAUAUCAAUAAGCGGAGGAAAAGAAACUAACAAGGAUUCCCCUAGUAACGGCGAGUGAAGCGGGAAAAGCUCAAAUUUGAAAUCUGGCAGCCUCAGGUUGUCCGAGUUGUAAUCUAUAGAAACGUUUUCCGCGCUGGCCCAUGUACAAGUCCCUUGGAAUAGGGCGUCAUAGAGGGUGAGAAUCCCGUCCUUGACACGGACCACCAGUGCUUCGUGAUACGUUUUCAACGAGUCGAGUUGUUUGGGAAUGCAGCUCAAAAUGGGUGGUAAAUUCCAUCUAAAGCUAAAUAUUGGCGAGAGACCGAUAGCGAACAAGUACCGUGAGGGAAAGAUGAAAAGCACUUUGGAAAGAGAGUUAAACAGUAUGUGAAGUUGUUGAAAGGGAAACGAUUGAAGUCAGUCGUGUCUAUUGGACUCAGCCGGUUCUGCCGGUGUACUUCCUUUAGAUGGGGUCAACAUCAGUUUUGAUCGCUGGAAAAGGGCGGGAGGAAUGUAGCACUCUCGGGUGAACUUAUAGCCUUCCGUCGUAUACAGUGAUUGGGACUGAGGAACGCAGCAUGCCUUUAUGGCCGGGGUUCGCCCACGUACAUGCU
rnacentral:rRNA from 1 species